UGUUCAUGAAUGCAGGGGAUCUUCUAGCCAUCAGCGAUUGAUGGAGCCGAGGUGCGUUAGGUAGGUGGUGAGGUAAAGGGUCAACAAGGCAGAGGUGCGUUGCCGACUUGAAGGGGUGGUUCAGCCCCACGGGACUGAAGCCCCGCUCCGAAUUCUUACGGAGGCAGCCGUAGGGGAUUAUCCGCCAAUGGCGACAGUCCGAAUCAGCACCUCCGGCUGAGUGAAGAAGGUCUUUGGGUUGUUAAAGUCUGUUGGUAGGGAAGAACAUCCACCGUUCUAAUAGGGCGGUACGAUGACGGUACCCAACCAGUAAGCCCCGGCUAACUUCGUGCCAGCAGCCGCGGUAAUACGUAGGUGGCAAGCGUUGUUCGGAAUUACUGGGCGUAAAGCGCGCGCAGGUGGUUUCUUAAGUCCGAUGUGAAAGCCCCCGGCUCAACCGGGAAGGGUCAUGGAAACUGGGGAACUAGAGUGCAGAAGAGGAGAGUGGAAUUCCACGUGUAGCAGUGAAAUGCGUAGAGAUCAGGAGGAACACCCAUGGCGAAGGCGACUAUCUGGUCCAUCACUGACGCUGAGGCGCGAAAGCGUGGGGAGCAAACAGGAUUAGAUACCCUGGUAGUCCACGCCGUAAACGAUGAGAACUGGAUGUUGGAUGCAUCCGCCACGCAGUAUUGAAGCAAACGCAUUAAGCACGCCGCAUGGAGACGACGU
rnacentral:rRNA from 2 species